rnacentral:pre_miRNA from 3 species
AGGGAAGGCAUUAUUGAGUGCAGCGUUGAUGAACCUGCCGGCCGGCUAAAUUAAUUAGCAAGAAAGUCUGAAACUGGCUCAAAGGUUCACCAGCACUGCACCCAAUCACGCCUUUGCU